UACGUAGGGUGCGAGCGUUGCCCGGAUUUAUUGGGCGUAAAGGGCGCGUAGGCGGUCACGCACGUCCGUUGUGAAAUCGCUCGGCUCAACUGGGCGGGGUCAGCGGAUACGGCGUGGCUGGAGCAAGCUAGGGGGCAAUGGAAUUCCCGGUGUAGUGGUGGAAUGCGUAGAUAUCGGGAGGAACACCAGUGGCGAAGGCGGUUGCCUGGAGCUUUGCUGACGCUGAUGAGCGAAAGCGUGGGGAGCGAACAGG
rnacentral:rRNA from 1 species